rfam:Oryctolagus cuniculus chromosome 7, whole genome shotgun sequence.
AAAAUGGCUUUAUUUAAAGCCCUCAAGACACCAUUAAGAGCAAUU